AGGACGAACGCUGGCGGCGUGCUUAACACAUGCAAGUCGAGCGGAGAAUAUAGCAAUAUAUUCUUAGCGGCGGACGGGUGAGUAACGCGUGGGUAACCUGCCUUUUUACAGGGGGAUAACACUGGGAAACUAGUGCUAAUACCGCAUAAAAUAGUGAAGUGGCAUCACUUUACUAUCAAAAGGAGCAAUCCGGUAAAAGAUGGACCCGCGUCCGAUUAGCUAGUUGGAGGGGUAACGGCCCACCAAGGCGACGAUCGGUAGCCGAACUGAGAGGUUGAUCGGCCACAUUGGGACUGAGACACGGCCCAGACUCCUACGGGAGGCAGCAGUGGGGAAUAUUGCGCAAUGGGGGGAAACCCUGACGCAGCAACGCCGCGUGAAGGAUGAAGGUUUUCGGAUUGUAAACUUCUUUGAUUGGGGACGAUAAUGACGGUACCCAAAAAACAAGCCACGGCUAACUACGUGCCAGCAGCUGC
rnacentral:rRNA from 1 species